rnacentral:rRNA from 1 species
UACCAGCACCCCGAGUGGUCGGGACGAUUAUUGGGCCUAAAGCAUCCGUAGCCGGUUUUACAAGUCCUCCGUUAAAUCCAGCUGCUUAACAGAUGGGCUGCGGAGGAUACUAUAAGACUAGGAGGCAGGAGAGGCAAGCGGUACUCAGUGGGCAGGGGUAAAAUCCGUUGAUCCAUUGAAGACCACCAGUGGCGAAGGCGGCUUGCCAGAAUGCGCUCGACGGUGAGGGAUGAAAGCUGGGGGAGCAAACCGG